rnacentral:rRNA from 1 species
AUGAAGCAAGCCCUUGAGAAUAAAGACAAGGAGCUGGCGAUGGCCCAGAAGGAAGCCAAGACCAAGACCAAACUUGUUGACGAGAAGCUGGCGUCAGUCAGCAAGCUGGAGAAGGAGAUCGAGACCCUCAAAGCUGCAGCCGCGGCUAAAGGCGAGUCGGCCGAGUGGGAGAAGAAGUGCACAGGUCAAGCCGCUGUCUUUGAGCAAGAGAAGCAAACUCUGGAGGAGAAGGUCACACAACUCACUGAGAAGAAGAAUGCCCUGGAGGGAUACAUCGAGGAAUUCUGCACGGAGAUGAGCGAGAAGCUUGUUGGUAAGUUUCUUUGUUAUCCAAAUGGAAUUCUUGUGCUGUUAUGA